UUAGUACCCAUCUACACGGGUCAUUUAUAGACAGGUGCAUGCAUUAACAGCAGCCUGUCUAUUCGUACAAUUAGGGCCCAAACUUUUAUCUAGGCACUUUUAAUUCUUUACUCUUUUAAACCCCAGAGACCCAGCCUAAUUUAAGACAGUGUAAAGAAGCUUUGAAACCAGACACUGUUUUUUGGCCUGGCCUCUCAUGGUUUUACACCCUCACUGUACCCCUGGGAGAGCAGGUGUGCUGUGGAUUGUGUAAGACUUAAACUACUGACAAAAUGUUCUUGAUUCUGACAUUCGAGAUUGUCUUACCUGCUGGUUCUUUUUUUGUUUAUCCAGGCUGCCGUUCAUCUGCUGUGACACCAGCAGUGAAGGUUAUUCUUUCCCAGUGAAGGACUGCGUGAAAUAGAAAGUUUAGCACAAUCUCAGAGAAGAUCGCAUCUACUUUUACUAUAUGGAGAAGUGCAGCAUUACUGCUUUGCUAAAUAUCUCCUUUUGCUUAGGUGCAUGAUUGUCUAAUGAGAUGGCUGAAAAUGGGACAGAUUUGAAGUUUCCUUGAAGAAGAGUGGGACUGUGGGACCAGCACAAUCAGAGCUCUGGAAAGACAGCGUCUUCACAGCUAUCGGCUCACGUGAGUGACUCUCCACCAAACCACCCCACACUGACCAGAUCUGCAGAAAACUCGCAAAGC